GCUCACGUCAGCCGCACACGCACUAAAACUGGAACGAUACAGGGAGAUGACCAUAGCCCCGUGUGCAAGGAUGACACACAAAUCUGUGAAGUGUUCCAAAUUUCU